rnacentral:rRNA from 1 species
UACGUAGGGUGCGAGCGUUAAUCGGAAUUACUGGGCGUAAAGCGUGCGCAGGCGGCUUUGCAAGACAGAUGUGAAAUCCCCGGGCUUAACCUGGGAACUGCAUUUGUGACUGCAUGGCUGGAGUGCGGCAGAGGGGGAUGGAAUUCCCAGUGUAGCGGUGAAAUGCGUAGAUAUCAGGAAGAACACCCGUGGCGAAAGCGGCUCUCUGGAACGGUACUGACGCUGAGACGCGAAAGCGUGGGGAGCGAACAGG